rnacentral:misc_RNA from 1 species
GAUGAAGAACGCAGCGAAAUGCGAUAAGUAGUGUGAAUUGCAGAAGUACCGUGAAUCAUCGAAUCUUUGAACGCAAAUUGCACUCUCUGGUAUUCCGGGGAGUAUGCCUGUUUGAGGGUCGCUUAACAAACCAUCGAUUUCGUUGCUUUUUUUAAAAAAAGUGAUGUUUAUCGGAUUUGAGCCGUCUUUUUUUUUUAUAUUUAAGUGGCUUAAAAUUGAUUUUUUGGUAUGAUCGAAGCGUAUUUUAUGAUCAAUUUUUGGUUAAAGAAACGCACACGUACCGUUAUAUAUGAUGUAAUACGUUUGACUAUUGGAUUUAGUUCAUUCGUAUACGAUAUUUUUCAAUAUUUGACCUCAAAUCAGGUAAGAACACCCGCUGAACUUAAGCAUAUCAAUAAGCGGAGGA